GGAGAGAUGGCUGAGCGGUUUAUAGCCCCGGUCUUGAAAAUCGGUAUAGUGGAAAGAACUAUCGAGGGUUCGAAUCCCUCUCUCUCCU
rnacentral:tRNA from 1 species